GCCAGCAGCCGCGGUAAUUCCAGCUCCAAUAGCGUAUAUUAAAGUUGCUGCAGUUAAAAAGCUCGUAGUUGAAUUUCGGGGUCAAUAUGUUGGUCGUGCCUUGGUACGUACUAGCUUAUUGAUUUCUCCUUUCUGACGAACCAUGAUGUCAUUAAUUUGGUGUCAUGGGGAAUCAGGACUGUUACUUUGAAAAAAUUAGAGUGUUUAAAGCAGGCUCGCGCUUGAAUACAUUAGCAUGGAAUAAUGAAAUAGGACAUUUGAUUCUAUUUUGUUGGUUUCUAGGAUCGAUGUAAUGAUUAAUAGGGAUAGUUGGGGGCAUUAGUAUUCAAUUGUCAGAGGUGAAAUUCUUGGAUUUAUUGAAGACUAACUACUGCGAAAGCAUUUGCCAAGGAUGUUUUCAUUAAUCAAAAACGAAAGUUAGGGGAUCGAAGACGAUCAGAUACCGUCGUAGUCUUAACCAUAAACUAUGCCGACUAGGGAU
rnacentral:rRNA from 1 species